AUUGAACGCUGGCGGCAGGCCUAACACAUGCAAGUCGAGCGAGCGGCGGACGGGUGAGUAAUGUCUGGGAAACUGCCUGAUGGAGGGGGAUAACUACUGGAAACGGUAGCUAAUACCGCAUACCAUCAGAUGUGCCCAGAUGGGAUUAGCUAGUAGGUGGGGUAACGGCUCACCUAGGCGACGAUCCCUAGCUGGUCUUAGAGGGUGACCAGCCACACUGGAACAGUGACACGGUCCAGACUCCUCCGGUGGGCAUCAUUGGGGAAUAUGGCACAAUGGGCGCAAGCCUGAUGCAGCCAUGCCGCGUGUGUGAAGAAGGCCUUCGGGUUGUAACGCACUUUCAGCGGGGAGUCGUUACCCGCAGAAGAAGCACCGGCUAACUCCGUGCCAGCAGCCGCGGUAAUAC
rnacentral:rRNA from 1 species